AUCUAGUUGACGAGUCCCGAAUAGGACAAAACACGCUUCAAACUGGAU
rfam:Schistosoma mansoni strain Puerto Rico chromosome 2, complete genome